rnacentral:tRNA from 1 species
UCCCUGGAGGACUAGUGGUUAGGCCAUAGUGUUCCCACUGCUGCAGCCUGGGUUUGAUUCCCAGCCAGGGAA